rnacentral:rRNA from 1 species
GUUGGGUAGGGGAGCGUUGUGUAAGCUGAAGAAGGUGGUUCGAGAGGGCUGCUGGAGGUAUCACAAGUGCGAAUGCUGACAUAAGUAACGAUAAAGCGGGUGAAAGGCCCGCUCGCCGGAAGACCAAGGUUUCCUGUCCAACGUUAAUCGGGGCAGGGUGAGUCGGCCCCUAAGGCGAGGCUGAGAAGCGUAGUCGAUGGGAAAUGGGUUAAUAUUCCCAUACUUGGAUAAACUGCGAUGUGGGGACGGAGCAGGUUAGGUUAGCGUACGGAUGGAAGAGUACGUUUAAGUUGGUAGGUGGGGUGUUUAGGCAAAUCCGGGCACCUGAUAACACUGAGAGAUGAUGACGAGGCUCUACGGAGCUGAAGUAACUGAUACCCAACUUCCAGGAAAAGCCACUAAGCGAGAGGUUUAUCUAAACCGUACUGGAAACCGACACAGGUGGUCAGGUAGAGAAUACUAAGGCGCUUGAGAGAACUCGGGUGAAGGAACUAGGCAAAAUAGCACCGUAACUUCGGGAGAAGGUGCGCUGGCGUAGUGUGAAGUUCUUCGCGAAUGGAGCACGAACCAGUCGAAGCGACGAGCUGGCUGCAACUGUUUAAUAAAAACACAGCACUCUGCAAACACGAAAGUGGACGUAUAGGGUGUGAUGCCUGCCCGGUGCUGGAAGGUUAAUUGAUGGUGUCAUCGAAAGAGAAGCACCUGAUCGAAGCCCCAGUAAACGGCGGCCGUAACUAUAACGGUCCUAAGGUAGCGAAAUUCCUUGUCGGGUAAGUUCCGACCUGCACGAAUGGCAUAAUGAUGGCCAGGCUGUCUCCACCCGAGACUCAGUGAAAUUGAAAUCGCCGUGAAGAUGCGGUGUACCCGCGGCUAGACGGAAAGACCCCGUGAACCUUUACUAUAGCUUGACACUGAACCUUGAAUUUUAAUGUGUAGGAUAGGUGGGAGACUAAGAAGCGGUAACGCCAGUUAUCGUGGAGUCGAUGUUGAAAUACCACCCUUUAACGUUUGAUGUUCUAACGAGGCGCCCGGAACGGGUGUUCGGACAGUGUCUGGUGGGUAGUUUGACUGGGGCGGUCUCCUCCCAAAGCGUAACGGAGGAGCACGAAGGUUGGCUAAUGACGGUCGGACAUCGUCAGGUUAGUGCAAUGGUAGAAGCCAGCUUAACUGCGAGACGGACAAGUCGAGCAGGUACGAAAGUAGGUCAUAGUGAUCCGGUGGUUCUGAAUGGAAGGGCCAUCGCUCAACGGAUAAAAGGUACUCCGGGGAUAACAGGCUGAUACCGCCCAAGAGUUCAUAUCGACGGCGGUGUUUGGCACCUCGAUGUCGGCUCAUCACAUCCUGGGGCUGAAGUAGGUCCCAAGGGUAUGGCUGUUCGCCAUUUAAAGUGGUACGCGAGCUGGGUUUAGAACGUCGUGAGACAGUUCGGUCCCUAUCUGCCGUGGGCGUUGGAGGAUUGAGGGGGGUUGCUCCUAGUACGAGAGGACCGGAGUGAACGCACCGCUGGUGUUCGGGUUGUCAUGCCAAUGGCAUUGCCCGGUAGCUAAGUGCGGAAGAGAUAAGUGCUGAAAGCAUCUAAGCACGAAACUUGCCCCGAGAUGAGUUCUCCCUGACAAAGAGUCAGUAAGGGUUGUUGAAGACGACGACGUAGAUAGGUGGGGUGUGUAAGCGGUGUGAGCCGUUGAGCUAACCCAUACUAAUUGCCCGAGAGGCUUAACUAUACAACGCUGAAGGGUUUU